CAGUGGGGAAUUAUUGGACAAUGGGGGGAACCCUGAUCCAGCCAUGCCGCGUGUGUGAAGAAGGCCUUUUGUUGUAAAGCACUUUAAGCGAGGAGGAGUCUACUGGUAUUAAUACUACUGGAUAGUGGACGUUACUCGCAGAAUAAGCACCGGCUAACUCUGUGCCAGCAGCCCGGUAAUACAGAGGGUGCGAGCGUUAAUCGGAUUUACUGGGCGUAAAGCGUGCGUAGGCGGCUUUUUAAGUCGGAUGUGAAAUCCCUGAGCUUAACUUAGGAAUUGCAUUCGAUACUGGGAGGCUAGAGUAUGGGAGAGGAUGGUAGAAUUCCAGGUGUAGCGGUGAAAUGCGUAGAGAUCUGGAGGAAUACCGAUGGCGAAGGCAGCCAUCUGGCCUAAUACUGACGCUGAGGUACGAAAGCAUGGGGAGCAAACAGGAUUAGAUACCUGGUAGUCCAUGCCGUAAACGAUGUCUACUAGCCGUUGGGGCCUUGAGGCUUUAGUGGCGCAGCUAACGCGAUAAGUAGCCGCCUGG
rnacentral:rRNA from 1 species